rnacentral:rRNA from 1 species
GAUGAACGCUGGCGGCGUGCCUAAUACAUGCAAGUCGAGCGAACAGACGAGGAGCUUGCUCCUCUGACGUUAGCGGCGGACGGGUGAGUAACACGUGGAUAACCUACCUAUAAGACUGGGAUAACUUCGGGAAACCGGAGCUAAUACCGGAUAACAUGUUGAACCGCAUGGUUCAACAGUGAAAGACGGUUUUGCUGUCACUUAUAGAUGGAUCCGCGUCGCAUUAGCUAGUUGGUAAGGUAACGGCUUACCAAGGCAACGAUGCGUAGCCGACCUGAGAGGGUGAUCGGCCACACUGGAACUGAGACACGGUCCAGACUCCUACGGGAGGCAGCAGUAGGGAAUCUUCCGCAAUGGGCGAAAGCCUGACGGAGCAACGCCGCGUGAGUGAAGAAGGUCUUCGGAUCGUAAAACUCUGUUAUUAGGGAAGAGCAAAUGUGUAAGUAACUAUGCACGUCUUGACGGUACCUAAUCAGAAAGCCACGGCUAACUACGUG